GUCCCUUUGGUAUCUUGCACACCUCUUUCAAGCAACAUAAAACCGUUUACAUUGAAACAUUAAUUGCGCAUAUCAAUAGUAAGAGAGAUAUAAAUACUGGUAACGUUUUAAACAUAACCAAACUGGAGUUUUUUUUAUCAAAAACACGAUUAUGUUACGUCUUGGUGUAUUACUAUAAUAUCGUGGAUUGCAGUAAAUAUGUGUUCCCCUGAUAUUGUAAAAAAAAUAAAGACAACAGUAGUAUACCGCUUUUCAAUAGUCAUAAAUCGAUAAGGUGAAAACAAAUCCUGGUCAGAGACCAUAAUCGAUGGAAACACAACAACUAUUAGAGGACUACAACAGAAUAACAGAAACACUGAACUGCUACAAAAAAAAACCGCCAGCAUACACAGAAACGGAUUUUUUUUAUUACAAAUACAUGCUGGUAAAAUCAUUUGGUCUCUUGUGCAUAGUUUUCUUACACCACAUUUUCUUUCUUAUAUAUACUUGCAUAAGUACAAAAAAACAUAGAAAGGUAAAUAUCAAAUCCUGCGUGUAUUUGUUUCUCGUUUCUUGUUUUUUAUAUAAAUUAGACAGUUUUUUCCCCAUUGAAAUAGUUUUACACCUGUCAUUUUUUUGGGCCACUAUAUAUUUCGAUAUGAGACGAGUCUCCUUGUUGCAGAUCGUACUUUAAUCUGUAAUGGUUUACUUUUACAAAUUAUGACUUGAAUGAGAGAGCUGUCUCAUUGGCACUCAUACUUCAUCUUCUUAUAUCUGGGAAGACAAAAAGAUAACAUGACUUAAAAUCCAAUAAUAAUUUAAAGUGAAAAAAUAUCAAUUUUAACACUUUCAGGCAUUAAUAUCUAUUAUUUCAUAGCUUAAUAAGAUUUUUUUUUUAAUCAAUGUCAAUUUCUGGGUGUAAGUCAAGAUAUGAGACAGACUUAACUGUAUCUGUAGUAUCCUUUAUCUCUAGUUCAAUGAGAUAGAUGCGUUCAACAUAGUCACCAAAGUAAAGUAAGAGAAUACUGCUGACUUGUUUUCUUUUUUCUUAUAAAUAGAUGAAUGCAAAAUCAAUUUAAAGCAACGAAAUAGAUAUAAGAAGAUGUAGUAUGAGUGCCAAUGAGACAACUAUCCAUCCAAGUCACAAAUGUUAUCAUAAGUGACAAAGUAAAUCGAAAAAA
rnacentral:lncRNA from 1 species